rnacentral:misc_RNA from 1 species
GAUGAAGAACGUAGCGAAAUGCGAUACUUGGUGUGAAUUGCAGAAUCCCGUGAACUAUCGAGUCUUUGAACGCAAGUUGCGCCCGAAGCCAUUAGGCCGAGGGCACGCCUGCCUGGGCGUCACACGUCGUUGCCCCCCCAUCUACUCCUUCGGGAUUGCGGGGGGCGGAUGAUGGCCUCCCGUGCGCCUCGUCGCGCGGUUGGCAUAAAUGCCAAGUCCUCGGCGACGCACGCCACGACAAUCGGUGGUUGCGAAACCUCGGUUGCCCGUCGUGUGCGGUCGUCGCGCAUCGAGGGCUCGAAAAAAUUGUCGGGCUCCGGCUCGGCUUUCAACGCGACCCCAGGUCAGGCGGGGUUACCCGCUGAAUUUAAGCAUAUCAAUAAGCGGAGGA